GCGGCCACUGCUAUCAAGCUCCGACUAAGCCAUGCGAGUCAAGGUAUCGUAAGAUGCCGGCAAACUGCUCAGUAACACGUGGAUAAUCUAACCUUGAGUAAGGGAUAACUUCGGGAAACUGAAGGUAAUACCUUAUAAUUGCUUAAAACUGGAAUGUUUUUGCAAUAAAAGUUACGACGCUCAAGGAUGAGUCUGCGACCUAUCAGGUAGUAGGUGGUGUAAUGGACCACCUAGCCUCAGACGGGUACGGGCCCUGGGAGGGGUAGCCCGGAGAUGGACUCUGAGACAUAAGUCCAGGCCCUACGGGGCGCAGCAGGCGCGAACACUGUGCAAUGCGCGAAAGCGCGACACGGGGAGCUUGAGUGUCUUGGCAUAGCCAAGACUUUUCUCAUUCCUAAAAAGCAUGAGGAAUAAGUGCUGGGUAAGACGGGUGCCAGCCGCCGCGGUAACACCCGCAGCACGAGUAGUGGUCACUUUUAUUGAGCCUAAAGCGUUCGUAGCCGGUUUUGUAAAUCUUCAGAUAAAGCCUGAAGCUUAACUCCAGAAAGUCUGAAGAGACUGCAAGACUUGAGAUCGGGUGAGGUUAAACGUACUUUCAGGGUAGGGGUAAAAUCCUGUAAUCCCGGAAGGACGACCAGUGGCGAAAGCGUUUAACUAGAACGAAUCUGACGGUAAGGAACGAAGGCUAGGGUAGCAAACCGGAUUAGAUACCCGGGUAGUCCUAGCUGUAAACAUUGCCCAUUUGAUGUUGCUUUUCCGUUGAGGGAAGGCAGUGUCGGAGCGAAGGUGUUAAAUGGGCCGCUUGGGAAGUAUGGUCGCAAGACUGAAACUUAA
rnacentral:rRNA from 1 species